GGGCACACAGCGGCCGCCAUUGUGGCAAGACCCAGUCUCAGCUGGCUUCUCCAAGGGAGCCGAAGAAACUCAGGAGUGCUGCGUAGAAUUCUUCCCAAAGGCCUAGAUUCAUCUUGAAGGGUGGGGAUCAACCUCUUCAACCAGCCAAGAUUUGGAAGGAGAGAAAUUAUACGGAAAAUGAGAUGUUGCUGUCAUGACCCGUUCCCAGAAUUCAGAAAGUACAGCAAUCCUCGGAUUAUCAAGCUGUCUAUAAAUGGUUUCAAUUUAAGGUCAACAGAAGGCAUGGUGGAAAGAGAGGACAGCUAUUCAACCCAUGGCAACCAGAAAGCAGACAGAAGAGGAGCCAAGGGUGAUAGCACUCCCUUCCAGGUCCUACUCAUAGUGACCACCUGCAACCAGCCCGAGCCUCCUGACAGCACACUCAGCUACUAAACUCUUAUGAAUGGAUGAAUCCAUGGAUGGGUAUAGUGCUCCCGGAAUCCAAUCACCUUCUACACACAUGAGAAUUUGGGGGAACAUUUUAGAUCUAAACUAUGACAGACAGAAAUAUUAAAAUGCAAUGAACAUUUAAAUAUAUUCAUUAGAACACAAUAGGCUAUCAAUUAGACUUUAUAGAAUUCUUAAGUACAUAUUAGUGUAGAUACAAAAGGUUGGAGUUUAUUCAUUGAUCCAGUAAAUAUUUAUUGAGCAUCUACUUUAUUGACUAUAUUAUUAAUAAAAUAAUAACAGACUUAUUAGACACUCAGCUUGAGGCCCAAAGAAAUAGAGUAUGUUCAGAUUUCAGGAGGAAAGUGGCAAAGUCUGUUAGGAAAAAGAAACAAGAAAACUUGGAUAAGAGAUUUGGUUCAACAUAAAAGGAGCAAAGAAAUUAGAGGUAAGGUUAUUCUGAGAAAUAUGUUAAAAUCCAGAAAUAUUGUGACAUUUAUAGAUAAAUUUAUAUUUUUGUUUCAUUUGAGCAAUGAGGGUUCACAAGAAUAAUUUAAAGGACUCAUGACCGUAAAUGCUUCUGAUUGGAGCAUAUUUUAUAGCAGUGCAUGGAGAGAUGAAUAUAGUGAUUAUGUAUUUAAAAAUUUAACUUGACCUAAGUUUGGUUCUGCAAAUACAAAAAAGAGUAGAUAGGAAGUGGAGUACACAGGAAUGUGCUCUUUCUGUGGUUAGACUCCCACAGGAAAUAGGCAAAGGCAUCAACCUCAAGAAACUAGAAACCCCAAGAAAGAAGCAAGAAAAUA